GACGAACGCUGGCGGCGUGCUUAACACAUGCAAGUCGAACGGAAAGGCCCUGCUUUUGUGGGGUGCUCGAGGGGCGAAGGGGGGAGAAACACGUGAGUAACCUCCCCUUGCCUUUGGGAUAACUCCAGGAAACUGGGGCUAUUACCGGAUAGAAGCUCCUGCUGCGUGGGGGGGGUUGGAAAGUUUCGGCGGUUGGGGAUGGACUCGCGGCUUAUCAGCUUGUUGGUGGGGUAGUGGCUUACCAAGGCUUUGACGGGUAGCCGGCCUGAGAGGGUGACCGGCCACAUUGGGACUGAGAUACGGCCCAGACUCCUACGGGAGGCAGCAGUGGGGAAUAUUGCACAAUGGGCGGAAGCCUGAUGCAGCAACGCCGCGUGCGGGAUGACGGCCUUCGGGUUGUAAACCGCUUUCGCCUGUGACGAAGCGUGAGUGACGGUAAUGGGUAAAGAAGCACCGGCUAACUACGUG
rnacentral:rRNA from 1 species